UUGUAAAAUAGAGGAGAAUUUGGGAAAAAAAUCCCUUUUUUUAGGUGAUGUUUUUUAAAAAAUGGCAUUUCUUUAAUGCAAAGUUCAGCUCCAAGUCCCUGAGGGUGGGCCUGAUCCCGGCCCCCAAAAGGAUCUGCCUCAUCCAGGAGCCCAAAGUGCAUGAACCUGUCAGGAUUGCUUAUGACAGACCCCGGGGCUGCCCUGUCACAAAGAAAAAAAAGAAGCCCAGGGCUGUGGAGGUGCCCCAGAAGAGGCUGAGCCCCAGGAAC